rnacentral:tRNA from 1 species
CGGUGGCGCAGUGGUUAGCGCACUUGCCUCAAAGCAAGAAGGUCCCCGGUUCAAGUCCCGGCUG